GGUGCUGUGCUGUGGCGCAGGAUGCUGAAGAUGCAGUUAAACAGACGGAGACAGAGAUGGGGGGGGGCCUCCCUGGGCCCCUCAUGUAGGGGCCAAUCUGGAGCAGGCAGGGGGGAUGACAGAAUAAGGCCACGGGGAGGUGAGACAAGCAGCUCAACCAGGUCCUCUGGGGAGUCGGGCCACCAGGCUGUCACCUGAGCGAUUAUGGCUCUUUUCAUCUGCUCUGCAUAGGUGGCUCAAUCAGACGACAGUGGUUGCUGUCUGCCGUUGUCAGAAGACAUUUCAAUUUGGCGACCAUCCCUCGGGUUCGGGCAAAUUACCACUUCAAAAGCCUGCGACUCCCAGGUCGCUCCCAGUGGGGUCGGUGCAGUGUGCCCCCCCCCCCCCCCCUCUGCUGCUCAGCAAUGCUGAUGAGGGCCCGGGCCCCCUUGAGCAUGCUUGUCCCUCCACACUAAACAAAACUCUCUCCAGGAGAAUUGGCAGCGUGCUUCAUUAUUCUGCACGAAUAGGGUAAUGUCUUUAAUUUGUGUUGGGUGGAAUGGGUUGGUAGCUUUUUAACCACUGGAAAUGAGCAAAUGGGGAAAAUGCUGCUGAUUAAUAGAAGUUUUGACAGAAGAGACAUGAACUUCCAGGCUAAUUAAUGUAUCACAAGUUUUUGUAUAAAUGAUAGAUCCUUUCCAUCAAGUAGUUUAAUUGACUGACUGACUAGAAGGAAGGAAACAAUUCCACUGAAACACAGUAUAUCUCUCCUCCUUUUUGAUACCUUCACUCUGGCUUCACAUUAAUCAUUUAACACCAAUUAAAUGACAUUCCAACUUUACGUUGCACCAAAGUUUAAAGCCUUUUGAAAUGAAGAGGUUGCACCAAAACUUUAAGCUCAAGUUUAAACUUACACUUGAGGAGGUUUGACUAAUAAAAUGGCUGCAUUUUUUUAUAUGGGUUAUGCAAAAUAAAGAAGUUCCUAAUAAAGUUCA